UACAGAGGGUGCGAGCGUUAAUCGGAAUUACUGGGCGUAAAGCGCGCGUAGGCGGCUUUGCAAGUCGGGUGUGAAAUCCCCAGGCUUAACCUGGGAACUGCAUUCGAGACUGCAUUGCUAGAGUAUGGGAGAGGGAAGUGGAAUUUCCGGUGUAGCGGUGAAAUGCGUAGAAUAUCGGGAAGGAACAUCAGUGGACGAAAGCGACUUCCUGGAACCAAUUACUGAC
rnacentral:rRNA from 1 species